GUCUUAAUUAUAUUUUAAUAAAAAAUAACAAGUCGUAAAUCAAAAUCUGUAAUAUUUGUAUUUAUUAAAAUUAAUUUUCCCGUGUCGAAUAAAUCUGCACAUAACAAUUUUGUACCGUUUCGUUCUCACGAGGGUCAUUUCAAUUGAAAUAUUCUAAAAAUUUUACAGAAGAAAUCCAACAAUAUUUAAUGACCGUUGGCACAUAGGUAGACACACGUUUUUUUUUUUUUUUUUUUGUUAAGAAAGUAAUUAUUAACUGGGAAAUUAUGAGUUAUAGAAAAUGUCAGAAGCAAUUAUUAAAAUGAAGAGGAGGGAGGUAUUCAAUAGUAGUUGAUUUAGAUUCUGAGCGUAGCGAUCAAUUUGUUGGUUUCACUAUGAUUUUGUUUCUGUCCACAAACAACUAUUUUACCGUUUAAUCACAAUAACGUGACAAUUGGAAAUGUUCCAAAGGAGGUGUGAACUAGGAACAAUGUUAAUCUGUACCGGAUAUCAUUACGAUAAUAUUUUUUUUCAAACGUUUACGUCACGUUAAUGUUGAAUGUUGAUGCGGCGUUAACAAAGCGACACGGUGUACACGUCGCACGAAACUCAGGAACGCGGGACGUUAGCAGUUGCGUAUAAACAGCACAUUAUGUUUUAUUCCACGUUUCGGUGAAACGUCACUGGAGCGUCCACGAUAAUACGAAUAUUAAUAAUAUAUUGCAUGGCGGGAGAUAUAUUAUAUAUAUAUAUACACAUAUAUAUAAUAUCUAAGGUUAUGUUUUGCAUUAUUCGAAAUUCGUUUUAAUUUAAACUUAAUACAAGUACCAACAUUUACGUCUACAUAAUACGAACAUUUUUAUGUUUACGUGCGUGUUUGAAUUUACCCACUUUAACUUUACAUAAUACGGUGAGGUAUUUUAUUUUAUUUUUUUUCAC